rnacentral:rRNA from 1 species
GAUGAACGCUAGCGGCAGGCUUAAUACAUGCAAGUCGAGGGGCAGCAGGACUGUAGCAAUACAGUUGCUGGCGACCGGCAAACGGGUGCGGAACACGUACGCAACCUACCCAAAACUGGGGGAUAGCCCGGGGAAACCCGGAUUAAUACCUCGUAACCUUUUUAAGUGGCAUCACUUGAUAAGUAUAGCUCCGGCGGUUUUGGAUGGGCGUGCGCCUGAUUAGGUAGUUGGUGCGGGUAACGGCCCACCAAGCCUGCGAUCAGUAACUGGUGUGAGAGCACGACCGGUGACACGUGCACUUGGUCAGGAGACCGACUACAGCGGGAGGCAGCAGUGAGGAAUAUUGAGCAAUGGUCGCAAGUCUGAACCACCCAGGACGCGUGAAGGAAGAAAGUCAUCUGGGUUGUAAACUGCUUUUAUGGGGGACGAAACCCGGAUAGUCUUAUGCGAUUGACGGUACCUCAGGAAUAAGCAGCGGCUAACUCCGUG